AAGCCCACAAACAAACAACAUUUCAGGGCAGAAAGGAGAUUUCACAAUUAAGAACGAAGUGCCUACACUACGGAGCAGGGCAGGCUCACAGCCAAUCAGUUGACAAACGAUUGAAAUUUGUGGGAAGCCCCAAUUUUCGGAUUCACAAUCUCACAGCCGUUUCUUCUUGUCGCAGCCUCCUUCUCGGUCUCAGGUAAAACACUAACAUCGACGGCCGCACUUGACUCUUUUGUUUUGAUUUUUCUUUUCCGCUUAUCAUUCUCUUUGAACUAUCAAAUCGUGUUUAUAGGGUUUGUCUGAAAUGAUUUCUUUACUUUGCUAUUUGAAUCCAAUUACUUUGCGUUUCCAGUAGAUUCGAUCUGGAUUUUCGUGUUGUUUUUACUUAUCUGUUUGAUUCACCGGAAAAUGUAUGAUAAAAUUCGAUCUUGGGAUGAAGGGUUUGGAGAAAACCAAACUCUGGACCCCAGCAAGCAUGUAACACACUUGUAAAACUUUCAUGGAUUGUACAGACAGGUUUAGAUCCUAACUAAAAUAGAUUGCGUCAUGCCAAACUCAUUUUGUGGAUAAAAAUUUAUUUAUUCCUUUUUGUUCUGAAAGUUUCCCAUGGUUUUUAACUUUUUAGGCAUCCUAUCAAAAGAUUAAAUUUUGAGGCGUAAACUUUGUUGCCAAAGUGUGAUACUGGUCUGUUUAGUUAUGUUCUUGUAUACGUUUUCCUAUGGGGACACACUCCUUAUUGAUAAAGCCACAAAACUCCUAGUCCUGUUUUGGGUUCAAUCCCAGGUGGUGUCCCUUUGUUGCCCAACUUCAAACGAAGUUCUUAAAUAUGUACUGAAACUAACUUCAACUUGUUAAUGGAUUUUAUAACAGAGUAAUAUCUAAUCCUAGUUUCUGUUCCGAAAUUAGUCUGAACGAUGUUAAAUGCAUAAAUUUCAGCGUUAGUUUGAAUGCAAUAGGCUUAUUGCUUGUUGAUAUGUUUCAUUUUAGCUUUGUGCCUAAUUGUGCAAGCAUAAUGAGAAUAUGAAACUCUUCUAUUGCAGAUCAAGCGGAAUGGCUGGUCAUAAGAUUGCUCAUGCCACACUGAAAGGACCAAGUGUUGUCAAGGAGAUCUGUUACGGCAUGGUGCUUGCUUUGGCUGCUGGAAGCCUUUGGAAAAUGCAUCACUGGAAUGAGCAGAGGAAAGUGAGGGUGUUCUAUGACUUGCUUGAAAAAGGUGAAAUUAGUGUUGUUGCUGAGGAAUAGAUAGUUUCCAUCAUGAUUUGAUGGACGGCUUCAACAGUGUAUUAAUCAGUCUCUCCUUUCCAUGGCUCUUGAACUUGAGAUGAGCUUAGUUUGGGUAUUGAAAUAAUAAGUUUACCGUACUAUUGUGCGCUACAGUAUUGUUUCAAAUUAAUGUUGUUGAUAUUUGUUGCUCCCUUGUGAUUGCAUUUAUGGGAUGUUAUAUGGUUGUUUUCUAAUGAAUCAAGCGUGGUAAUUUUCAUGAGGAUUCUGC
rnacentral:lncRNA from 1 species